rnacentral:rRNA from 1 species
UGAUCCCAGCUUGCUGGGGGAUUAGUGGCGAACGGGUGAGUAACACGUGAGUAACCUGCCCUUAACUCUGGGAUAAGCCUGGGAAACUGGGUCUAAUACCGGAUAUGACUCCUCAUCGCAUGGUGGGGGGUGGAAAGCUUUAUUGUGGUUUUGGAUGGACUCGCGGCCUAUCAGCUUGUUGGUGAGGUAAUGGCUCACCAAGGCGACGACGGGUAGCCGGCCUGAGAGGGUGACCGGCCACACUGGGACUGAGACACGGCCCAGACUCCUACGGGAGGCAGCAGUGGGGAAUAUUGCACAAUGGGCGAAAGCCUGAUGCAGCGACGCCGCGUGAGGGAUGACGGCCUUCGGGUUGUAAACCUCUUUCAGUAGGGAAGAAGCGAAAGUGACGGUACCUGCAGAAGAAGCGCCGGCUAACUACGUGCCAGCAGCCGCGGUAAUACGUAGGGCGCAAGCGUUAUCCGGAAUUAUUGGGCGUAAAGAGCUCGUAGGCGGUUUGUCGCGUCUGCCGUGAAAGUCCGGGGCUCAACUCCGGAUCUGCGGUGGGUACGGGCAGACUAGAGUGAUGUAGGGGAGACUGGAAUUCCUGGU